rnacentral:lncRNA from 1 species
GAAGCUCUGGAUGCCCCUUCUUCCUCUGGGGACUCCUUCUUGGGCUUGGCUCUGGUUAUAUCGUUGAUCUUCAAUAUUUCCCACUAUGUAGAGAAGCAGAGACGAGGUAAGACCUUCUGGCAAAUCACUGUAUGGUACCUGCUCAAACGCAGACCCUGGCAACCCUCGGGCGUACAUACUGUUAUGAGAUGUCGUUAACAGCUUGUUGUAACCGUGAGAGAUCUUGGAUUGUUUUCACCCUGAGGGCUCCCUCAAUUUAAGAAUGAAUUCACUUCGGAGAUAUGAGACAAAGUUCCCAAACUUAGCUUUAAGACUGUCUCAGGAUUGACAGCUGAAAGGAGUUAUUCUGCUAAACGGGCUUCUCUAAAUGAGCAAAUCAGGGUACGGCAGUCUUUUGAGAUGGUGAUAAAGGUGAAGAGCUGCUCCCUAAGGCUCUACUGAAGUCAUUCAGUUCUCAGGGGGCUCCAGCUAUGGCACUCGGCACUGUCUGAAAAAGCUGCAGACUGAACCCGGGCCUGUCACUACACCACAGACCUAGAACUUGUCAGUGUCAUUACCACUGUGAGCUUUGCUUUCUUUUAUCCAGGUGGCUUUUAUCUACAUGUGGCAUAAUUGAAACCCUAUCACGUACCCAACCUGCACAUACCACCAUGUGCACACCGACUACACGGAUCAGUGCACAAAAGAACCAAAGCUCAAUGGUUUCUGGGAAGCGCCUUGACAGUCGAAGGGCAGAGAAACUGCACCAAGAGCUAUAAAUAACCAGGAAAGAACUUUGAAAAGGAAAAGAUAAAAACUCAUGAAAGGGGACAAAACUAAGUUAGCACACUGAAGUUAAACUUAGCACACACGUCUCAGAAAACUCGCAUGAAGCAUGUAAAUGGUGAUCAGACUGUAGGGAGGGAGGGCCUCGAUUCACUCCGGAGAAGCUUUCUAUGUGGUGAGAACCCAGCAUCAGGUGAGGACAGAAAGUUGUUAUCACGCAGAUUUUGAAGGCUUGGAGGUGUUUGAGAAUGACCGGUGUAGAUGGCAGAGCUCAGGUCACAUGACUAUUUAAUACCAAAAUUGUGCCCCAGCACCCAGUGUGGGCACACACACUAGCUUUUCCUAUCUCAAUGUGAACAGGCUUUGUAAUUUUCACCUUUAAAAAAAAUUAUACAAGCUAUUAUUGCCUCAGCCUUACCAUAAAGGGCUCUAUUGUUUAAAAGUAGUGAGGUGGAGAGAAAAGAAAUUGAAAAAUAGGGAAUAAUAAUAAAUUGAAUGCAUGAUGUUUUUCUUUUAAUUAAUGGCUGCCAUUUGAUCAUUAACAGCAUAGCUUUGAAAGCAAAGCAUGUGGUGUGAAUUGAUAUUCACUCUGGUUUCAGAUUUCAGCUGUCAGAUCUCAUGUAAGUAGCAAGUUCUCUGUUUCUUGGUAUCCUUUUGACAGCCAAUGGAAAGCACCAUGCAGACCAAAAGGGUCUUGUAAGGAGAAGUAAAUGUUCACGUGUAUUAGGACAGUGUGGAGACUUGGCAGUUGGUUUGUAUUGGAAACAGUCCGUAUCGCUAUGCUUCAUGGGCCUGGUGCUUUCUCUCUUUCCACAGUAAUUACCUUCCUUUUGGCCAUAGUAAUCACCAAGGGCCUUCCCUGGCCUCACAUUACUUCCUGUCACAUCAGUACAUUGUCUCAGUAGGUGUCAGUCAGUUCUUCAGACUCUUUGCUGCUCCAACCAUGCCUGUGUCCUGGCUCCCUUUCUCCCCGCCCCCAUCUUUAUAUUACUUAACAACUUAACAACAGCUAGGGCUUUGGCUGGUGCUCCUGUAAGCCACAUUCUAUUCCACUUCAGGGGGCUGGGUAUUGUGAGGCUUUCAUGAGAUUGGUUCCAAACGUCACUGGAUCACAGGUCAUUUUAUUUGAUAUACACUUGUUAGGUGGCACACACUGUAGAGAUGGAUGUGUAAGCUCAAGGCGAUUAGCCUUGAAGCAGCCUCACAGUGCUCAAGGAUUGCAAAGUGCUCUCACUCCACCUUCCCAACUGCCCUCCCCCCCGGAGCUUUCCCCGGGUGUGAAUAUUUACCCUGACACCUCCAACCCACAGGAACAAAUGGUACUAUUCUUCACUUCCAGGGAUUGCAGACAACUUGAACUCUCUGUAAACACUCAGGACCUCCCUAAUCCUGAAGACCAGGGCUUGCUCUAAGUCUUGGGCAAGACAGGCUAGAAGAGAGUUUGUCACAUCAUCCAGCCUUCUCCCAUGUGCUCUGUAAUUUUAAUGCUGCUGCAAUUGGUCCUGUUCACUUUUAUGUUAGCACCGCUGUGCUUUUUGUGGCUAAGAAACUGGCAAGAUAUGACUCCACCUUGGCCAACAAGCAGUAAAGAAACAUUGGGGGCAUAUUACAUAGCUUUCAAAAGGAACUCUCCUUCCAGUGAGAGUGUAAUAUCUAUGCAUUUAAUCAGACAGAUGCCCUUUUUUCUUGAUUCUUUCUGUAGCAUCUAUUUAGAUGCUUUGAAAGUGAAUUCUCUCUCUGCUUUCCAAAAUAAAUCUUUAUUUUUAUUC